GCGUAAAGCGUGCGUAGGCGGCUUCUUAAGUCGGAUGUGAAAUCCCUGAGCUUAACUUAGGAAUUGCAUUCGAUACUGGGAAGCUAGAGUAUGGGAGAGGAUGGUAGAAUUCCAGGUGUAGCGGCGAAAUGCGUAGAGAUCUGGAGGAAUACCGAUGGCGAAGGCAGCCAUCUGGCCUAAUACUGACGCUGAGGUACGAAAGCAUGGGGAGCAAACAGGAUUAGAUACCCUGGUAGUCCAUGCCGUAAACGAUGUCUACUAGCCGUUGGGGCCUUUGAGGCUUUAGUGGCGCAGCUAACGCGAUAAGUAGACCGCCUGGGGAGUACGGUCGCAAGACUAAAACUCAAAUGAAUUGACGGGGGCCCGCACAAGCGGUGGAGCAUGUGGUUUAAUUCGAUGCAACGCGAAGAACCUUACCUGGUCUUGACAUAGUAAGAACUUUCCAGAGAUGGAUUGGUGCCUUCGGGAACUUACAUACAGGUGCUGCAUGGCUGUCGUCAGCUCGUGUCGUGAGAUGUUGGGUUAAGUCCCGCAACGAGCGCAACCCUUUUCCUUAUUUGCCAGCGGGUUAAGCCGGGAACUUUAAGGAUACUGCCAGUGACAAACUGGAGGAAGGCGGGGACGACGUCAAGUCAUCAUGGCCCUUACGACCAGGGCUACACACGUGCUACAAUGGUCGGUACAAAGGGUUGCUACCUAGCGAUAGGAUGCUAAUCUCAAAAAGCCGAUCGUAGUCCGGAUUGGAGUCUGCAACUCGACUCCAUGAAGUCGGAAUCGCUAGU
rnacentral:rRNA from 1 species